CCUACGGGAGGCAGCAGUGGGGAAUUUUGCGCAAUGGGGGAAACCUUGACGCAGCGACGCCGCGUGGGUGAUGAAGGCCUUCGGGUUGUAAAGCCCUGUUGGGGGGGAAGAUAGUGACGGUACCCCCUGAGGAAGCCCCGGCUAACUACGUGCCAGCAGCCGCGGUAAGACGUAGGGGGCGAGCGUUGUCCGGAAUUACUGGGCGUAAAGGGCGUGUAGGCGGCUUUUCAAGUCGGCUGUGAAAUUCCCCGGCUUAACCGGGGGGGUGCAGUCGAAACUGGAGGGCUUGAGUGCAGGAGAGGGUGGUGGAAUUCCCGGUGGAGCGGUGACAUGCGUAGAUAUCGGGAGGAACACCGGUGGCGAAGGCGACCUCCUGGCCUGUUACUGACGCUGAGGCGCGAAAGCCGGGGGAGCAAACAGGAUUAGAUACCCUGGUAGUCCCGGCCGUAAACUCUGGGUACUAGGUGUAGGGGGCUUCGAUGCCUUCUGUGCCGUAGUUAACGCAUUAAGUACCCCGCCUGGGGAGUACGAUCGCAAGGUUGAAACUCAAAUGAAUUGACGG
rnacentral:rRNA from 1 species